AGAGACUGCCGGUGUUAAGCCGGAGGAAGGUGGGGAGUGACGUCAAGUCCUCCAUGGCCCGUUAUGGGUAGGGCGUUCACACGUAAUACAAUGGUCGGUACAGAGGGUUGCCAACCCGCGAGGGGGAGGCCAAUCCCAGAAAACCGAUCGUAGUCCGGAUUGCAGUCUGCAACUCGACUGCAUGAAGUCGGAAUCGCUAGUAAUCGCGGAUCAGCAUGUCGCGGUGAAUACGUUCCCGGGCCUU
rnacentral:rRNA from 1 species